GAAGCAAUGAUGAGGUGAAGCACUGAAACAGUGUUGAAAGGGUAGUGGACAGGUACCCAGUUGAUAACUGAGGGCUUGCCGUGAACUCUAUCUAAUUAAACGACUUCUCCUUCCACUGAGCUCC
rnacentral:snoRNA from 9 species